ensembl:rRNA 5S_rRNA 5S ribosomal RNA
AGCGGCAGCCAUAUCACCCUGUAGCCCAAGACUGGAUACCCACUGAAGCUAAGCAGGGUUGAGCCUAGUCAGUACCUAGAUGGGAGACCUCCUGGGAAAACUAGGUUGCUGCUGAAA